AAUCGCCCCCUAUACCCUUAAAUAGGGCAAUAUUUGAGGGACAGCCAUUUGUAGUGGUGUCCGAAACCAUAGUGGACGUUAUUGAGUGCACUCAUUCAAUCAACUGAUGUACGCUCAAUGGCUAGAGAAUACCCAUAAUACACAGUGAGAGUCGCACGUCGAAUGAAUUCCCACGUCUGACCAGAAGAUGGCGCCUGCAGUUUUUCCAAACGGCUGAUCCAAUGUGGCUACAGCGUAUUAUUAUACAGCCUGUCACUCAAACUCCUGGCGAAGGGUGAACUGAGAAUGGAAGGCGCCGAGACUGACAAUAGCUCCUCUGUGGGACUCGAGACUGGUGCGUGGCGCAGGUGUUCCUCAUUAACAUUCGCUUCAGCGGCCUCGCUCUGCUCCCACGGCUCUCGGCCCCACCCUGCUUCACACCACAGAGGACAUGACGUAAUGACGCAAAGACGAACGACGGUAUGUUUAAAUUUCAAAUUAGAAUACAUUAUUACAAGUUUAUCGUUGUGAAUUGGGCUAUGGUAAGGAGAUAGUUUUGAACACUGGCUGGUUAUGUAUUUGCUCAAAAAUUUAUUUUGGAUUAUUUUUAACCAAAAAAAAGUUACGGACUUCAGCUUUAAUGAGAUUAGCCUCAUUAAUAACUAUUAACUAACUGACAAAUUAUAAAGAAGUGUCUUAUAAAGUGUGUCUGAGACGUAAUCAGUCAUCAUUUUUACUCUGAAUAUAGUCAUAAAAUGCAUCAGUAAUUACUCAAGUGUUACCCAGUGACUCUGCAGGAACUACUAGUGAUCUGGACCAUUAUUUUAAAGUGAAAACACUUACUUCACAAGUACACAAGUACUUCCUGCAGAGUCACUACACUUGAGUAAUUAGUGAUGCAUUUUAUGACCAUGUUGAGAGUAAAAAAAGACAAUUUCUCACAUCUCAGACAUGUUGUGAUUAGAAAUUAUUUAGAAAUUCUUUAUUCAUAGUUACCUAUUAGUUCUUAAUGAUGCCAAUCUAAUUCAGUAAUUGAUUACCUAAUAAGAAAAUAUCUUAGUCCUAAAUUUGAUAUUACUUACUGAUUAGUUAAGCUUGUUUCUAUAUUAGUUAAAAGGUUAGUUCACCCAAAAAUGAAAAUUCUGUCAUUUAUUACUCGCCCUCAUGCCGUUCCACACCCAUAAGAUCUUCGUUAAUCUUCGGAACACAAAUUAAGAUAUUUUUGUUGAAAUCCGAUGGCUCAGUGAGGCCUCCAUAGCCAGCAAUGACAUUUCUUCUCUCAAAAUCCAUUAAUGUACUAAAAACAUAUUUAAAUCAGUUCAUGUGAGUACAGUGGUUCAAUAUUAAUAUUAUAAAGCGACGAGAAUAUUUUUGGUGCGCCAAAAAACAAAAUAACGACUUAUAUAGUGAUGGACGAUUUCAAAACACUGCUUUAUGAAACUUCGGAGCGUUAUGAAUCAGCGUGUCGAAUCCGCAGUUCAGAGCGCCAAAGUCACGUGAUUUCAGCAGUUUGGCGGUUUGACACGCGAUCCGAAUCAUGAUUCGACACACUGAUUCAUAAUGCUCCGAAGCAUAUCUGCUUACAUUUCUCUCUGAGCAUCUGUAAUCAACAUGCCUGAGAUUACAGACUUGCUCUAUUCCUUUAUUAUAUCAAUGAAAAGCAUGUCACAGCUUUGAGUGUUUGUCUCUUCUACUUAUUAGCCAUCUCUCUUACCUUGUUUGCUUUUCUCUCUGUGCACAUCUGUUUUAAAUAACCUGGUGCCCAAGGUCCAGAAAGACAUUUUUAAGUCUUAAAAAGACAGAUGCCUCUUCCUUCUUUUGUGAGAUCAUGCGAUGCUGCUCCAUUGCUGCUCCAAAUAAACUGUAAAAGAAAAGAAACGGCAACAUUUUCAUCAGUAAUUCAGUUGACGAGAUCAACACCAAGCACAGGUGGAGCUAAAUCAGAUGCCCUGAAGUCAUUUUCAGUUUUCGACUUGACACACUUCGAGACAACAGGUGCAGUAGGCCAUAGAUGAAGACAACGGCUGUCACUUUAAACAUGCGCUGACAGCAUCACGUUAAAUCACACAUGAUGUUGAAACACUUUGAGCUCACGCAACUGUCAAUUUAGGUAUGUUUGUCAUAUUGACGAAAGGAAUGGUACGCCGAGAGUGGCGUGUGCUUGCUAACAUCGUUGUUAGUGUUGCUGAUGAUAUUCAGGCAAAGCUUUCUUCUCUCUGCUUGACUGGCAAGACAUGAGGUUUGAACAAUGAGGAGGAUGUACAAUGAGAAAAAGAGAAAAGUGUCUUAUCAAAACUCCAGGCUGGCGAAAACUGCUUACUCUGACUUCUGGUAAAAUUAUGCCAUUAUUGAUGCUUUAAUCUUUGCACCUCUUUUAAUGGAAUUUUAAAUGCAAAUCCUGUCAUUAUUUACUCAUCCAUUUGCUGUUAUUUGUUCUGUGAAACAUGAAACAUGAAAGUGUUUUUAUUUAUAUAUUUUUAAUAAUCUACACCUACCUGUGGCAGAUAAACAUUAAUAGCAUGUAUUAUAAAGAAAAAAAAUAACUUUUUUGUUCUUUUCUAUUUCAGUAUAUUUUAAAAUGUCAUUUACUCCUAUGAUGCAAAGCUGAAUUUUCAGCAUCAUUACUCCAGUUUUCAGUGGCACAUGAUCCAUCAGAAAUCAUUCUAAUAUGCUGAUUCAAGAAACGACUCUGUCACAGCUUUCAUUGGCCAAGGACCACCCAAGAGGAAGUCUGACUGACAUGUAAAUCAACAAAUCACAGUUUGUUUUGUUCAGUGUCAUGUUCAGGGGCAUGAAAAUGUAAAGUAAAAAAAAGUACUUGAAAAUCAGACAAAAAGACAAAGGUAGAAGACUGUGUACUUAACGGCUUAGUGAUAGAAAGAACUAUUACUAAAAUUAUGGAGAAAUAUAAAGUUACUCAUUUAAAAAUAUUGAUUAUAUAUGUAUGUAUGUGUGUGUGUGUGUGUGUGUGUGUGUAUAUAUAUAUAUAUAUAUAUAUAGUUUAUUGCAAAAUAUGCAUAUAUAUUCAAAUAGUAUUUUGAAAGCAUAGGGACACUCGAUUAUGUCAUUUGCUGUGUUUCAUGGGAAUGGGAGGAGCUAACGGGAUCUUUUUGCUUGUUUCGACUUUCUGAUUGGUGGAAUUUUCUACAGCAUCGUGGGUAAUGUAGUUUUCACCAUACAUUCUGCUGUUGAACACUAUUAUUUUAAAUUUGAAAUAAUGUGGGCUAACGGAUUCAACAGAAGCAAAUUGUCAGGUUUAUGUUCAGUUUUGUAUUUAUAAGUUGACCCAGUUUCCUAGUGUGUUUCAGUUUUUUCCCUUUGAUUGAUGAAUUCCGUUCACCUGUUGCCCAUUAAUUAUCUCAUUAGUUCAUCCGUGUAUUUAUACUCCCUGUUUGGUACUGGUUCUGUCUGGUGUCAUCUAUGUGAAGUGUAUGCGUUUGCCUGCUCUCCUUGUGUUUCUCUUACGUGGAUAUAUUAAAAGACUGUAUUAUAAUCUCAUUUGUCAAGAGCUCUUUAUAUCAACCACACCUGACACAAGUACUAUUGAUUAACAACCUCAUACCUCACUGCAAGUAUAAACCUUUUUAAAAAAUUUGAAAAGAAAAUUGUUAAAAACCAGUUUCCCUCUGGAGAAACUCAAUGGAGUUUUACUUCUGGAACCCGCCUGUUGCACUCUAUUAUCAAUGUUGAAAACAGUUGUGCUGCUUUAUAUUUUUGUGAAAAACCAUGAUACAUUUUUUUUCCCCCUCAGGAUUCUUUAAUGAAUAGAGAUUUUAAAAGAAAAGCAUAUAUUUGAAAUGUAUAUCAGAAAUGUCUAUUGACACUUUUGAUCAAUUUAAUACAUCCUUACUCAAUAAA